UGAAGAAUAAUGCCCAAUAGGUAAAUGGGGCAAUUAACAAAUGUAAUGUAAAUAAAUUAUUUCCAUGAAAUCAUUGACUCACCAACAGAGGGAACACAAUUUGGUCCAUGGUAAAAUAUUCCUUGGUAUUAAUAAUUUCUUCUCCUAAAGUAUUUCAGGGGCUGCCAAGCUGCUCUCCUGUUUCCUCUUCCUUGGGGCUGAUUGCAUCCCAUGAUGUGCCCAGGUUUUGAGAUGCUCCUCGUGAAUGAAAAUAGAACUGUCUGGUUCCUCCAUCCAUAGCAAGGGAGCCUGGACAGAAAUAACUUCUGUGCGUUUCUCCAGCUACAUUUAGGAAAACUAGAAAAUACAGAAAUAUAUCAAGAAGAAAAAAAAUUUAAAAAUGACCCAAAAUCCCACCAACCAGAGACAGCUAUUAAUGAUUGUGGUA
rnacentral:lncRNA from 1 species